UACGUAGGGGGCAAGCGUUGUCCGGAAUUAUUGGGCGUAAAGAGCGCGUAGGCGGUCCGAUAAGUCGGCUGUGAAAGUCAAGGGCUCAACCCUUGGAAGCCGGCCGAUACUGUCGGACUAGAGUCCGGAAGAGGCGAGUGGAAUUCCCGGUGUAGCGGUGAAAUGCGCAGAUAUCGGGAGGAACACCAAUUGCGAAGGCAGCUCGCUGGGACGGUACUGACGCUGAUGCGCGAAAGCCAGGGGAGCGAACGGG
rnacentral:rRNA from 1 species